CUUUUCCAUCCUCCAACUUAAACCAACUUGUCUGACCUAAUGUAAGACCUGAACCUCAGGGACUCCCACCUGCCAAUCUUUUUCACCCGUUCAUCACCUAAACCUAGUCUCGCCGCUUCAGUAGCCACACCAAUCCUGAAAGAAUGUGUCCCGAAUUGGCCCGGGUCCACACCCAACCUUGCCAACGCCUUCCGAAAAACCCAGAGGAACUGGAACUUCGAUAGCGAAGAGCCGUCCUCAUGCUUGAAAUAUGAACCCCCGGCCAUUGCCCGCACCUCCCGGAAGGCCGUUGCGCACUUAACCGGGCAAGUUCUCCCACCCGGGAGCUCCCACAACGUAACCAACGUUCCUUUCCCCAUUACAUCCGUUUUGGACCGCCUCAGGUUAAUCACUACCUUGUUGCUCCACACUUCCACGUCCAUCGCCUGAAGUCCCCCGGACCCUUGGCGAUUGCUGCUAACUUGCUCGCUGACCCGAAAUGCCCCAAAAAAGGCAAAACUAAAAACCACGGAAAACAACGUCACUUCGUAUCCUGAAAAAUACACCGCGUG